ACGCACGCUGGCGGCGUGCUUAACACAUGCAAGUCGAACGGAAAGGCCCUGCUUUUGUGGGGUGCUCGAGUGGCGAACGGGUGAGUAACACGUGAGUAACCUGCCCUUGACUUUGGGAUAACUUCAGGAAACCGGGGCUAAUACCGGAUAGGAGCUCCUGCUGCAUGGUGGGGGUUGGAAAGUUUCGGCGGUUGGGGAUGGACUCGCGGCUUAUCAGCUUGUUGGUGGGGUAGUGGCUUACCAAGGCUUUGACGGGUAGCCGGCCUGAGAGGGUGACCGGCCACAUUGGGACUGAGAUACGGCCCAGACUCCUACGGGAGGCAGCAGUGGGGAAUAUUGCACAAUGGGCGGAAGCCUGAUGCAGCAACGCCGCGUGCGGGAUGACGGCCUUCGGGUUGUAAACCGCUUUCGCCUGUGACGAAGCGUGAGUGACGGUAAUGGGUAAAGAAGCACCGGCUAACUACGUG
rnacentral:rRNA from 1 species